AGCGGCGGACGGGUGAGUAAUGCCUAGGAAUCUGCCUGGUAGUGGGGGAUAACGUCCGGAAACGGGCGAUAAUACCGCAUACUAUCAGAUGAGCCUAGGUCGGAUUAGCUAGUUGGUGGGGUAAAGGCCUAACAAGGCGAAGAUCCGUAACUGGUCUGAGAGGAUGAUCGGUCCCACUGGAACUGAGACACGGUCCAGACUCCUACGGGAGGCAGCAGUGGGGAAUAUUGGACAGUGGGCGAAAGCCUGGACCAGCCAGGCCGCGUGGGUGAAGAAGGUCGUCAGAUUUUAAAGCACUUUAAGUUGGGAGGCGUUACCAACAGAAUAGGCACCGGCUGACUUCGUGCCAGCAGCCGCGGUAAUAC
rnacentral:rRNA from 1 species